GACGAACGCUGGCGGCGUGCCUAAUACAUGCAAGUCGAACGCAUUUUCUUUCACCGUAGCUUGCUACACCGAAAGAAAAUGAGUGGCGAACGGGUGAGUAACACGUGGGUAACCUGCCCAUCAGCGGGGGAUAACACUUGGAAACAGGUGCUAAUACCGCAUAAUUCCAUUUACCGCAUGGUAGAUGGUUGAAAGGCGCUUUUGCGUCACUGAUGGAUGGACCCGCGGUGGAUUAGCUAGUUGGGGGGGUAACGGCCUACCAAGGCUGAGAUGCCUAGCCGGGCGGAGAGGGGGAUCGGCCAACCUGGGACUGGGACACGGCCCAAGCGCCUACGGGAGGCAGCAGGAGGGAAUCUUCGGCAAGGGACGCAAGGCUGACCGAGCAACGCCGCGGGAGGGAAGAAGGGUUUCGGAUCGUAAAACUCGGUUGUUAGAGAAGAACAAGGAUGAGAGUGGAAAGUUCAUCCCUUGACGGUAUCUAACCAGAAAGCCACGGCUAACUACGUG
rnacentral:rRNA from 1 species